rnacentral:rRNA from 1 species
UCCUACGGGAGGCAGCAGUGGGGAAUAUUGCACAAUGGGGGAAACCCUGAUGCAGCGACGCCGCGUGAGUGAAGAAGUAUUUCUGUACGUAAAGCUCUAUCCGCAGGGAAGAAAAUGACGGUACCUGACUAAGAAGCCCCGGCUAACUACGUGCCAGCAGCCGCGGUAAUACGUAGGGGGCAAGCGUUAUCCGGAUUUACUGGGUGUAAGGGGAGCGUAGGCGGGACGGCAAGUCAGAUGUGAAAACUGAGGGCUCAACCUUCAGACUGCAUUUGAAACUGCUGUUCUUGAGUGAAGUAGAGGUA